rnacentral:rRNA from 1 species
UACGGAGGGGGCUAGCGUUGUUCGGAAUUACUGGGCGUAAAGGGAGCGCAGGCGGACAAGUCAGUCUAAAGUGGAAUCCCGGGGCUCAACCUCGGAACUGCUUCGGAUACUGCUUGUCUUGAGUUCGUGAGAGGAAAGCGGAAUUCAGGGUGUAGCGGCGAAAUGCUUAGAUAUCCUGAGGAACACCAAUGGCGAAGGCAGCUUUCUGGCGCGAUACUGACGCUGAGGCUCGAAAGCGUGGGGAGCGAACGGG